UACGUAGGGGGCUAGCGUUGUCCGGAAUCAUUGGGCGUAAAGCGCGUGUAGGCGGCCCGGUAAGUCCGCUGUAAAAGUCGGGGGCUCAACCCUCGAAAGCCGGUGGAUACUGUCGGGCUAGAGUACGGAAGAGGCGAGUGGAAUUCCGAGUGUAGAGGUGAAAUUCGUAGAUAUUGGGAAGAACACCGAUGGCGAAGGCAGCCAUCUGGACCGACACUGACGCUGAGGCGCGAAAGCGUGGGGAGCAAACAGG
rnacentral:rRNA from 1 species